rnacentral:lncRNA from 1 species
UCCAUGUUUUAGCUCCCUGACCCUCAAAUCCCUGAAGAAAUGUUCUAGCCAUACAUACAGUAGGUCUUAAAAAAAAGUUUUUUUUUCAAACGGAGGGAUCUCCAUUUGACAGGUAAAGGAAAUGAAGCACAGAGAUUCUAAGGGAAAAAGAAGACAGAAGUAUGUAGUGAAUUCAGUUAGAUGAGCUCCCAUUUCUCUUGAUAACUUUUGUGGAUGCUAAUACCUAAGCUAAUAGCUUAUAAAAGAUUUAAUUGAACUACACUGAACAAAUGAACUACAAGUAAAUGUAUGUGAUACCAGUCCACACCAAUUAUAAAGUUAAAAUAUAGCACUUGUAUUUUCCGACAGUAUUUCCUUCAGCUCUUUUUGUAAAGUUGCCAAAUAACCCAAAUCAAUUUAGUAAUUGCUAUUUUCAUUAUUCACAGAACUAUUUGGGGUCAAUGUACUUUUAGUCUAUACUAAAAAAAUGCAUUAAAAGGAUAACAUGUAUUGGUUCUUCCUCAGGCUUAUCCAUGAACCCAAUAUUUUAGAGAAAUUAACUUUGUUUUUGAGUUGAAAAUUUAGAUUCAGUUUCCUUUGAAGCAUAUAUGGAUAUGACAUCCUGAGACUUCCCUUUCCAAGAGUUUGUAAUCAUUCUUUUAAUGGUUUUUAUUACAUUUUCAGAAGAGUCAUCAGUCCUUUUCUCCUGGAUGAUACUGCCUUGUUAAAGAGCCUGUAUAUGCUGAUGUUCCUUCCUGGAUGCAAAGGAAAUACAUGCUUUUCUGUACUGCUCUCUUCUGGUCUGAAGCCCUCCAAAUCCUCCAGUCCUCCCACCUUGACCACCUUCCUCAAAUACUGAAAAAAAUCUGAUGUAAACAACUGAUCAACAGUCUAAGCCAGAGACUAAGAGGAAGAAAGGGAGCCCUGUGAAUAGCGGUAUGGAGAGUAUAGAACCAAAGCACCUCAGGAUGGAAGGAAAGAGUGAAGGGUCCAGACAGGAAGACUGAGUGUGGGAAAUAAGCCACUCAAAGGGGUAAAAAAUGUUUUGUAGCAUCUUCUGGAUACAUGUGUGUGAUUAAUACCCAGAAAGGAAUGGGCCCAUGGUUUUUCCCUUCCAAAUAUUAGGGACAGAGCUAAUGGAUUAUUGAUUAUUGAUUUUGAACAUAAAUAUUUAACGUCAUUGUGACCAAUGCUCUGAAGAAAACUACCAUGCAUAUUUGGGGACCAAUUAUGGAAACAACUGUGUCCUGGAAUAUUGAGGGAAGGCUUCAUCCAAAAAGUGUCAGCGAAACAAGUUCUCAAAGUUGAAGUUAUCGGGAAAAGAACGUGGGAAAAAUGGUCAUAGAGGCAACAACGUGAAUAAAGGCAUUGAGGUUGGAAGGGGCUUGAUGUUC